GGUUAAUCAGUGCUGCGUAGAAUCAUGCAAAAUGAUAAGUAAAGGCUGUCCUAUGCAUCGAUUUAAUCAUUUAGAUGAAAAGGUUUAUAAUAUUUGGGUUGCUAGAAUUAAUAAAUCAAAAAUAAAAUCUCUCACAAUCAUUUUAGUCAAUACUGUUUAUUGUCUCAAGAACAUCGCACUAACAGACGAUUGUUAAAAGCACGAAGUUUUCCCACUUUGAAUUUACUUGUGUCAAAUUUUACUUCCACUACUGCUAUCGACACUGCACAUUUCUUUUUAUUUGGGGACACAUUAUUUGAUAGUGUAAAUGGAGACAGAUUAUCGUCUACAAAGAAAUGUAGGUGUUCCAUACAUGAUUCUAGCCCACAUCUGGAUUUUUUCGAUGAGGCGAUUGAAGUGCUGAAGAGCAUGAAAUGCGAAUGCAAAAAGGAAUUUGAUGGACCUACUACAUUAAACUGGAUAGAAACAUUAAAAGGGUUUAAAUAUUUAAAGAUUAACUCUAAGAGGAAAAAACUUGAUUUCAUAAUGGACGCAAGGUUUUCGGCGGCACCCCUUACCACGUCAUUGGUGCCACGAUAGGAUGUGGACGGUCUGCUAAUGGCAUCUCUUUUACUUGUGGCCCACACGUAUUCAAAAUCUCCAAUGCCACAGUACCAUCCCGGAUAACCAAAAAUACAAAAUUUAUAGAAUUGUUAAAAAAAAACAGAAAUUCAAGCGUAGUGGAGGUAUUAUUGGAGGUUUCGACGAACAACAAAUUUUUCUGUGUUUGAAAAUAAACCCCAGUAGUACCUCCACCGAUGAGGAUUGUUAGCGCAAAAGGGUCAUUGAGAAAUUGGUCUAUUGAACUGCAAA